GCCGGGUGCAGUGGUGCAUGCCUGUCGUCCCAGCUACUGAGGAGGCUGAGGUGGGAGGAUCGAUUGAGCCCAGGAGUUCUGGGCUGUAGUGCGCUAUGCCAAUCGGGUGUCUGCAGUAAGUUUGGCAUCAAUAUGCUGACCUCCGGGAGCGGGGGACCAUCAGGUUGCCUAAGGAGGAGUGAACCAGCCCAGGUCGGAAACGGAGCAGGUCAAAACUCCCGUGCUGAUCAGUAGUGUGAUUGCACCUGUUAAUGGCCACUAUACUCCAGCCUGAGCAACAUAGCGAGACCCCCGUCUCU
rnacentral:SRP_RNA from 1 species